AACGAACGCUGGCGGCAUGCCUAACACAUGCAAGUCGAACGAGACCUUCGGGUCUAGUGGCGCACGGGUGCGUAACGCGUGGGAACCUGCCCUUAGGUUCGGAAUAACUCCCCGAAAGGGGUGCUAAUACCGGAUAAUGUCUUCGGACCAAAGAUUUAUUGCCUUUGGUUGGGCCCGCGUUGGAUUAGCUAGUUGGUAGGGUAAAAGCAGACCAAGGCGAGGAUCCAUAGCUGGUCUGAGAGGAUGAUCAGCCACACUGGGACUGAGACACGGCCCAGACUCCUACGGGAGGCAGCAGUGGGGAAUAUUGGACAAUGGGCGAAAGCCUGAUCCAGCAAUGCCGCGUGAGUGAUGAAGGCCUUAGGGUUGUAAAGCUCUUUUACCCGGGAUGAUAAUGACAGUACCGGGAGAAUAAGCUCCGGCUAACUCCGUG
rnacentral:rRNA from 1 species